rnacentral:rRNA from 1 species
GGCGGACGGGUGAGUAACGCGUGGGAAUCUGCCUACUAGCGGGGGAUAGCCCGGAGAAAUCCGGAUUAAUACCGCAUACGCCCUAAGGGGGAAAGCUGGGGAUCUUCGGACCUGGCACUAGUAGAUGAGCCCGCGUUGGAUUAGCUUGUUGGUGGGGUAAUGGCCUACCAAGGCAACGAUCCAUAGCUGUUCUGAGAGGAAGAUCAGCCACACUGGGACUGAGACACGGCCCAG